GUGGCGUUACUCAAAUAUGGGUAAGUUCGUUUACUCAUAUUUGGAUGAAAUAAAAAACAUAAACAAAAUGUUUUUCUGAACCUUAACAUCACCCGAAUAUCAAGUUUGUUCUCUGAAAAACCCGGACUGAGUAAGAAAAAACCUGGUAAACGAACUAGGCUGCACCACAGUCAACCUUUUUAGCAUCAUGCGAAAGCCGGAUGUGACUUUGGGAUCGUUUCCCAACCGCUUUGGGAAGAAGGCUUGGGAUGUGUUCUUUAGAAAAUUCUAUAUGCUAUAGGAUCCCAUGUAACCAUCGAGGCAGUGAAAAGUACGGAAAAGUCUUCCGUACUAAACACUUCGUGCUGGUUCUGGAGCUACCAAUUGGCCGAGUGAUUGUCGCAGUUGGUCAACAUCGAACUGACAUAACCCACCCCAAAUAUAAUGUUGCUUUUCGGAGGAGCAUCACCAGCUGACCAGCUGUGACAUGGAUUGAACGCAUUUCGUAUGACUCCGAGCAAAAACUGUUCGGACCGGGGCCCAACAUGACUGGAUCUUAGGAGCAUGCCAUAAUUUGCACAGGAAGCUAAUCCGGCGUUCAUUCGGGUGCAGUAUUCUUGAAACAAGACGCCGCCGGAUUUCAAUCAGCGUAAUACAAUCGCAAGAGUAAAUAAGUCGGAAGCAAAGGGUCAUCAAUAUCUUUAACGAUUUUUGCUGGAACAACUUCAAUGCGGUGCGGAAAAAUCGAGGGAAAAAUUACAAGGAGAAAAUAAUCUACUAAGCGUUUGAAAAACCCUAAGAUAUAAUUUCGAUGGAGCUAAUCAGCCGGAUUCCCGUUGAGUUAAGAGCAGGCUAAGAGAAAAAAAACCGCGUGCGACAUCAACAGCGAUCGGUGAGUUCCGGAUUAUAUCCAAGAUUGGAUGGAUUUAUCGAAGGAGGAGACAGACACGGAUUUGUUCAAGAAUGAAGGUUUGCAACGGAAACAAGCACGUGGGAGCAAAACGGAGUGCUGUUAUUCUCGUAUCAAGAGUUAAUUCCCUAGCCGAUGCUGCUGCUGGAAUACAA